CUACGGGACGCUGCAGUGAGGAAUUUUGCGCAAUGGGCGAAAGCCUGACGCAGCAACGCCGCGUGAGUGAUGAAGGCCUUCGGGUCGUAAAGCUCUGUCAAGUGGGAAGAACCUAUGUAAUGUUAAUAUCAUUAUAUACUGACGGUACCACUGAAGGAAGCACCGGCUAACUCCGUGCCAGCAGCCGCGGUAAUACGGGGGGUGCAAGCGUUAUUCGGAAUCAUUGGGCGUAAAGGGCACGUAGGCGGCCUGGUAAGUCAGAUGUGAAAGCCCGGGGCUUAACCCCGGAAGUGCAUUUGAUACUGUCAGGCUUGAGUAUGGGAGAGGGAAGUGGAAUUCCUGGUGUAGAGGUGAAAUUCGUAGAUAUCAGGAGGAACACCGGUGGCGAAGGCGACUUCCUGGACCAAUACUGACGCUGAGGUGCGAAGGCGUGGGUAGCAAACAGGAUUAGAUACCCGCGUAGUC
rnacentral:rRNA from 1 species